GAUGAAGAACGUAGCGAAAUGCGAUAAGUAAUGUGAAUUGCAGAAUUCAGUGAAUCAUCGAAUCUUUGAACGCACAUUGCGCCCCCUGGUAUUCCGGGGGGCAUGCCUGUUCGAGCGUCAUUUCACCACUCAAGCCUCGCUUGGUAUUGGGCAACGCGGUCCGCCGCGUGCCUCAAAUCGACCGGCUGGGUCUUCUGUCCCCUAAGCGUUGUGGAAACUAUUCGCUAAAGGGUGUUCGGGAGGCUACGCCGCAAAACAACCCCAUUUCUAAGGUUGACCUCGGAUCAGGUAGGGAUACCCGCUGAACUUAAGCAUAUCAAUAAGCGGAGGA
rnacentral:misc_RNA from 1 species